AUUGAACGCUGGCGGCAGGCCUAACACAUGCAAGUCGAACGAGUGGCGGACGGGUGAGUAAUGUCUGGGAAACUGCCCGAUGGAGGGGGAUAACUACUGGAAACGGUAGCUAAUACCGCAUACCAUCGGAUGUGCCCAGAUGGGAUUAGCUAGUAGGUGGGGUAAAGGCUCACCUAGGCGACGAUCCCUAGCUGGUCUGAGAGGAUGACCGGCCACACUGGACCUGGGACACGGUCCGGACUCCAAGGGGAGGCAGCAGUGGGGAAUAUUGCAAAUGGGGCGCAGGCCUGCUGCAGCCAUGCCGGGUGUAUGAGAAAGGCCUUCGGGUUUUAAAGUACGUUCGGCGGGGAGACGUUACCCGCAGAAAAAGCACCGGCUAACUCCGUGCCAGCAGCCGCGGUAAUUC
rnacentral:rRNA from 1 species